rnacentral:sRNA from 1 species
UGUUUGCACUUAGCGGGAAGGGUAAGAACCUUCGACUAAGGUUCGACUCGAGCGAAGCGAGAGAACGUUGCCACAGGCAACGGCCCGAAGGGCGAGGAGAGAUAG